rnacentral:rRNA from 1 species
UCUCUGAGGGUACAGUCAGUUCCCGAUUCGAUCGGGCUUUUUCUUCCCCUCUAACAGGAGUUUACAACCUUACGGCAUUCAUCCUCCACGCGGCGUUGCUGGGUCACCCUUCCGGGCAUUGCCCAAUAUUCCU